rnacentral:rRNA from 1 species
UACGGGGGGAGCAAGCGUUGUUCGGAUUUACUGGGCGUAAAGGGCGCGUAGGCGGCCACUGCAAGUCAGUUGUGAAAUCUCCGGGCUUAACCCGGAAAGGUCAACUGAUACUGCAGGGCUAGAGUGCAGAAGGGGCAACUGGAAUUCUCGGUGUAGCGGUGAAAUGCGUAGAUAUCGAGAGGAACACCUGCGGCGAAGGCGGGUUGCUGGGUUGACACUGACGCUGAGGCGCGAAAGCCAGGGGAGCGAACGGG